AUUACCCAAUCCCAAUACGGGGAGGUAGUGACAAUAAAUACUGAUACGGGGCUCUUUCGGGUCUCGUAAUUGGAAUGAGUACAAUCUAAAUCCCUUAACGAGGAACAAUUGGAGGGCAAGUCUGGUGCCAGCAGUCGCGGUAAUUCCAGCUCCAAUAGCGUAUAUUAAAGUUGUUGCCGUUAAAAAGCUCGUAGUUGAACCUUGGACCUGGCUGAUCUGUCCUCCUAAUCGAGCGCACGGAUUCGGUCGGGUCUUUCCUUCUGGGGAGCCCUAUGCCCUUCACUGGGUGUAGUGGGGAACCAGGACUUUUACCUUGAAAAAAUUAGAGUGUUCAAAGCAGGCCUUUGCUCGAAUACAUUAGCAUGGAAUAAUAGAAUAGGACAUCGGUUCUAUUUUGUUGGUUUCUAGGACCGAUGUAAUGAUUAAUAGGGAUAGUCGGGGGCGUCAGUAUUCAAUUGUCAGAGGUGAAAUUCUUGGAUUUAUUGAAGACUAACUACUGCGAAAGCAUUCGCCAAGGAUGUUUUCAUUAAUCAGUGAACGAAAGUUAGGGGAUCGAAGACGAUCAGAUACCGUCGUAGUCUUAACCAUAAACUAUGCCGACUAGGGAUCGGACGGUGGUUUUUUUAUGCCCCGUUCGGCACCUUACGAG
rnacentral:rRNA from 1 species